GUGGGGAAUAUUGGACAAUGGGCGCAAGCCUGAUCCAGCCACGCCGCGUGAGUGAUGAAGGCCUUCGGGUCGUAAAGCUCUGUGGGGAGGGACGAAUGACAGCCGACCUAACACGUCGGAGGUCUGACGGUACCUCCUUAGCAAGCACCGGCUAACCACGUGCCAGCAGCCGCGGUAAUACGUGGGGUGCAAACGUUGCUCGGAAUCACUGGGCUUAAAGCGUAUGUAGGCGGCCCAUCUUGUCGGAUGUGAAAUCCCUCGGCUUAACCGAGGAAGGGCAUCCGAAACGGACGGGCUUGAGUACCGGAGAGGGCGACGGAAUUCCCGGUGUAGUGGUGAAAUACGUAGAUAUCGGGAGGAACACCGGCGGCGAAGGCGGUCGCCUGGACGGAUACUGACGCUGAGAUACGAAAGCGUGGGGAGCAAACAGGAUUAGAUACCCCAGUAGUCC
rnacentral:rRNA from 1 species